rnacentral:rRNA from 1 species
ACGCUGGCGGCGUGCUUAACACAUGCAAGUCGAACGAUGAAGCCUAGCUUGCUAGGUGGAUUAGUGGCGAACGGGUGAGUAAUACGUGAGUAACCUACCUUUAACUCUGGGAUAAGCCUGGGAAACUGAGUCUAAUACCGGAUACGACCAAUCUCCGCAUGGGGUGUUGGUGGAAAGCGUUAUGUAGUGGUUAUAGACGGGCUCACGGCCUAUCAGCUUGUUGGUGAGGUAACGGCUCACCAAGGCGACGACGGGUAGCCGGCCUGAGAGGGUGACCGGCCACACUGGGACUGAGACACGGCCCAGACUCCUACGGGAGGCAGCAGUGGGGAAUAUUGCACAAUGGGCGCAAGCCUGAUGCAGCGACGCCGCGUGAGGGAUGACGGCCUUCGGGUUGUAAACCUCUGUUAGCAGGGAAGAAGAGAGAUUGACGGUACCUGCAGAGAAAGCGCCGGCUAACUACGUGCCAGCAGCCGCGGUAAUACGUAGGGCGCGAGCGUUGUCCGGAAUUAUUGGGCGUAAAGAGCUUGUAGGCGGUUUGUCGCGUCUGCUGUGAAAGGCCGGGGCUUAACUCCGUGUAUUGCAGUGGGUACGGGCAGACUAGAGUGCAGUAGGGGAGACUGGAAUUCCUGGUGUAGCGGUGGAAUGCGCAGAUAUCAGGAGGAACACCGAUGGCGAAGGCAGGUCUCUGGGUUGUAACUGACGCUGAGAAGCGAAAGCAUGGGGAGCGAACAGGAUUAGAUACCCUGGUAGUCCAUGCCGUAAACGUUGGGCACUAGGUGUGGGGGACAUUCCACGUUUUCCGCGCCGUAGCUAACGCAUUAAGUGCCCCGCCUGGGGAGUACGGCCGCAAGGCUAAAACUCAAAGAAAUUGACGGGGGCCCGCACAAGCGGCGGAGCAUGCGGAUUA